rnacentral:misc_RNA from 1 species
UCUCCGUUGGUGAACCAGCGGAGGGAUCAUUACCGAGUUUACAACUCCCAAACCCCUGCGAACAUACCAUUUGUUGCCUCGGCGGUGCCUGCUUCGGCAGCCCGCCAGAGGACCCAAACCCUUGAUUUUAUACAGUAUCUUCUGAGUAAAUGAUUAAAUAAAUCAAAACUUUCAACAACGGUUCUCUUGGUUCUG